CACGUAGGGUGCGAGCGUUGUCCGGAAUUAUUGGGCGUAAAGAGCUCGUAGGCGGUGUGUCGCGUCAGCCGUGAAAACCUGCAGCUUAACUGUGGGCUUGCGGUCGAUACGGGCAUGACUGGAGUUCGGCAGGGGAGACUGGAAUUCCUGGUGUAGCGGUGAAAUGCGCAGAUAUCAGGAGGAACACCGGUGGCGAAGGCGGGUCUCUGGGCCGAUACUGACGCUGAGGAGCGAAAGCGUGGGGAGCGAACAGG
rnacentral:rRNA from 1 species